GAUAAACGCUGGCGGCGUGCCUAACACAUGCAAGUCGAACGAAGCAGUAGCAAUACUGACUGAGUGGCGGAAGGGUGAGUAACACGUAGGAAUCUGCCUCAUCGGAGGGAACAACCAGUCGAAAGAUUGGCUAAAUACCCAAAAGGAUUGGCGACAAUCAGAGUCGAAAGGCCUGGUGAGAGGAGCCUGCGGCCCAUCAGCUAGUUGGCAGGGUAAUGGCCUACCAAGGCAACGACGGGUAGGGGGUCUGAGAGGACGUCCCCCACACUGGAACGUACGAAAC
rnacentral:rRNA from 1 species